rnacentral:rRNA from 1 species
GACGGACGGUGCAAGCGUUGCUCGGAAUCACUGGGCGUAAAGGGUGCGUAGGCGGCUUGGUGGGUCAGACGUGAAAUCCCUCGGCUUAACCGGGGAACUGCGUCUGAUACUGGAUGGCUUGAGUUUGGGAGAGGGAUGCGGAAUUCCAGGUGUAGCGGUGAAAUGCGUAGAUAUCUGGAGGAACACCGGUGGCGAAGGCGGCAUCCUGGACCAACACUGACGCUGAGGAGCGAAAGCCAGGGGAGCAAACGGG